GAUGAACGCUGGCGGCGUGCCUAAUACAUGCAAGUCGAGCGAACGGACGAGAAGCUUGCUUCUCUGAUGUUAGCGGCGGACGGGUGAGUAACACGUGGAUAUCCUACCUAUAAGACUGGGAUAACUUCGGGAAACCGGAGCUAAUACCGGAUAAUAUUUUGAACCGCAUGGUUCAAAAGUGAAAGACGGUCUUGCUGUCACUUAUAGAUGGAUCCGCGCUGCAUUAGCUAGUUGGUAAGGUAACGGCUUACCAAGGCAACGAUGCAUAGCCGACCUGAGAGGGUGAUCGGCCACACUGGAACUGAGACACGGUCCAGACUCCUACGGGAGGCAGCAGUAGGGAAUCCUCCGCAAUGGGCGAAAGCCUGACGGAGCAACGCCGCGUGAGUGAUGAAGGUCUUCGGAUCGUAAAACUCUGUUAUUAGGGAAGAACAUAUGUGUAAGUAACUGUGCACAUCUUGACGGUACCUAAUCAGAAAGCCACGGCUAACUACGUG
rnacentral:rRNA from 1 species